AGCGUUAAUUGAAGUUGUUCAACGUUCUUUACCCACAGAUUACGCAAAUCUGCUACCGUUGAACAACUAAUUAACGCUGC
rnacentral:pre_miRNA from 1 species